CCUCGUUCGACCGUGGCAUUU
rnacentral:miRNA from 2 species